rnacentral:lncRNA from 1 species
CUCAAACAGGAAGUACCCGUGCUAAGGUAUAUUCAAUGCUGGUCUGACAAUCGGAAUCCAUGCUUCAAGAUUGUUUUGAUAACACGGACUGGGAUAUGUUCCCGGGUUGCCUCUGAGAAUAACAUUGACGUAUAGAGACGGACACGGUGACUGAGUUCAUCAGGAAGUGUAUAAGGGAUGACAAAGUGGAGUCGCAAUUCAACGGCUCAGCCACGAGACGCAUGUGGCAGGGACUCCAGACAAUCACGGAUUAUGAAGGGAAUAGCAGCCAUGACACGGACACCGACGUCUUUCUCCCGGACAAGCUAAACACCUUUGCCCGCUUUGAGGAUAGCACAGUGCUACCGACACAGCCCACUCCCUAGGACUGUGGGCUCUUGGUCUCCGUGGCCGACGUAAGUAAGGCAUUUAAGCGCGUUAACCAUCGCAAGGCUGCCGGCCCAGACUGCAUUCCUAGCCGAGGCCUCAGAGCAUGUGCAGACCAGCUGGCUGGAGUGUUUACGGACAUAUUCAGUCUCUCCCUAUCCCAGUCUGCUGUCCCCACUUACUUCAAGAUGUCCACCAUUGUCCCUGUAACCAAGAUAGUCAUUUAGUUCAGUUACCUUUGCUAUCGCCCCAUAGCACUCACUUCUGUCAUCAUGAAGUGCCAUGGGAGGCUAGUUAAGGAUCAUGUCACCUCCACCUUAUGUGACACCCUAGAGACACUUCAAUUUGCAUACCGCCCCCAAUAGAUCCACAGACGAUGCAAUCGCCAUCACACUGCUCUAUUCCAUCUGGACAAGAGGAAUACCUAUGUAAGAAUACUGUUCAUCGACUAUAGCUUAGACUUUAACACCAUAGUACCCUCCAAGCGCAUCAUUAAACUCGGGCCCCUGGGUCUGAAACCCCCCCCCCCUGAUGGGCUGCCCCCAGGUGGUGAAGGUGGGAAACAACACCACUACACUGAUUCUCAAUACAGGGACCCCAGAAGGGUGCAUGCUCAGCCCCCUCCUGUACUCCCUGCUCACCAAUGACUGCGUGGCCAUGCACACUUCCAACUCAAUCAUCAAGUUUGCAGACGACACAACAGUAGUAGACCUGAUUAACAACAAUGACGAGACAGCCUACAGGGAGGAGGUGAGGGUCCUGGCGGAAUGGUGCCAGGAAAUAACCUCUCUCUCAAUGUCAACAAAAUGAAGGUGCUGAUCGUGGACUUCAGGAGACAGCAGAGGGAGCACACUCCUAUCGACGGGACCGCAGUGGAGAAGGUGAAAAGCUUCAAGUUCCUCGGAGUACACAUCACUGACAAUCUGUGUGGUGAAAACAGCACCUCUUCAACCUCAGGAGGCUGAAGAAAUUCAGCUUAGCCCCUAUUACACAAUUGAAAGCAUCAUGUCGGGCUGUAUCACCGCCUGGUAUGGCAACUUCACCGCCUGCAACCUCAGGGCUCUCCAGAGGGUGGUGUUUCUUCCCAGCGCAUUUUAGUCAAUGCCACUCCAACAUUGCUCAUCCUAACAUAUUUCUUAAUUCCAUUCUUUUACUUUUAGAUUUGUGUGUAUUGUUGUGAAUUGUUAGAUACUACUGCACUGUUGGAGCUAGAAACACAAGCAUUUUGCUACACCGAUAAAUAUGUGAUUGUGACCAAUACUAUUUUAUUUUAAAGUGGCCUGUUAUUUUCUCCAGCACAAAGUGUACCUGUGUGAUGAUCAUGCUGUUUAGUCAGGUUCUUGAUAUGCCACACCAGAUUAUCUUGGCAAAGGAGAAACACUCACUAACAGGGAUGUAAACAAAUUUGUGCACAAAAUUUGAUAGAAAUAAGCUUUUUGUGCGUAUGGAACAUUUCUGUGAUUUUAAUUUUAUUUCAGUUGAUGAAACACGGGACCAACAUUUUUUACAUGUUGCGUUUAUAUUUUUGUAAAGUUUUUUUCUGCAGUGUCAAGUGGAAACAUAAGCAACCCUGUUAUACUAGCUAGUAGUAGCUAGUGGAAGUAAGUUAGUCCCAAAGCUACCAGCUACAGUCAGAUUUCUCCAUUAAUUGAUGUAGCUAGCUUAACUAGAUAUUCUAGCUGGCAGAUGGUGCUUAUUGACUGAGUAAUAAUUAACUGCAAUUACUGUAAAUGUUUAGCUGUCUGGCACUUUGCAUAGCUAACUUAGCUAUUGCUUACACAUCUAACACAACAAUAUCAAUUUAAGCUACAGUCAUUGCUUGUGUGUGUGAGUUCUGAAUGUUCCCGCAGGAGAAGGGCACAGUGUUGCAUUUGAGCAGGUCAUCAUGAACUUCGUGUAGGUGCAUCAGCCAAUACAAACCAUUCACACAGUUCAGGCACUCAGCCCUAUCCAGUGGACAUGAUGCUCUCAAAGACCUGCUCUACCGCUUCCUACAACACCCUGAUGAGAAGCAAUAAGACUGGCCUCAUGACUUUCACUCACUGAUGGUGUGUAGGCUGGGUGAUGGCACCUGCAGGCCUGUUUGAGGGACAACUGGACAGAACAUCUCAGAAUGCUUGGACCUCAGCUGAGACCGUUCUUUCUGUUCCCGUCCUUCAAAGGAAAGCCCCUUCUUUACACUUGCGGUUAGGCAUGAUGCUCUCAAAGUGUCUCUCUCAUGUUGUGUGUUAUUAUCUAUAGAUGUCUCCAAGACACUUUCAAAUAGUUUGCCUGUGAAUGGUUGUCCACUGUCAGGCUAUUUACUUGUAACCUUUUUAAAAUACUGCUCCCCUCUCACAGAACUGCCCUGUGCUCUCUCUCUCUCUCUCUCCAGGAUACAUGAGGUUGAAGUUGCUUUGUUGAUGGCACCCCUUCAUCCUAAGUUCUGCUCACUCUUGUUCAACUACUCUUUGAUUAAAUCAGUUUAAUUCAGUGUUUAAAAUGUGCUUCAAGUGUGUUUUUUACUGAAAGUUGACAAGGCACUUUAUGA